CUAUUUUCCCCCUAUAGAAAAUUCACAUUUUUUUAUGAUAAACUCCAUGUUGAAUCAUGUUGCCCUUCUUAAGCCCCCGCUCCCCCAACUCAAUGUUGAGCUUGUAUCAUGGUAUAUUACCAAAAGUUGUUUCGGCUUGUAUCAUGGUAUAUUACCAAAAGUUGUUUCGGCGUUGUUCACAACAUUGAACUGGGAGGGGAAGACAAAGUUUGUUUUGUCAAUGUUCAAUAACUUUGUAAUAUUAGCUGGAAUGGUCUCAAG